GGUAUCACCAACGUCACGGGAUCAGAUGGUAAACCCGAAACAGGUGCUUCCAAAGGUGCAGGUGGUAAAGAGACACUCACCAUGUACCUGUCUAUAAGAGCGGGCUUAGCGGUGAUCACGAUUUUCGCUUUCCUCAUUUGGCGAUAUGCUGCCAAGAGAUCCAGAAUACAGAAAAAUCAACGAACAUGUGAAGAAGCCAGUGAAAUCCACACGUAU